AGUGAACGCUGGCGGUAGGCCUAACACAUGCAAGUCGAACGGCAGCACAGUAAGAGCUUGCUCUUACGGGUGGCGAGUGGCGGACGGGUGAGGAAUACAUCGGAAUCUACUUUUUCGUGGGGGAUAACGUAGGGAAACUUACGCUAAUACCGCAUACGACCUACGGGGGAAAGCAGGGGAUCUUCGGACCUUGCGCGAUUGAAUGAGCCGAUGUCGGAUUAGCUAGUUGGCGGGGUAAAGGCCCACCAAGGCGACGAUCCGUAGCUGGUCUGAGAGGAUGAUCAGCCACACUGGAACUUAGACACGGUCCAGACUCCUAAGGGAGGCAGCAGUGGGGAAUAUGGGACAAUGGGCGCAAGCCUGAUCCAGCCAUACCGCGUGGGUGAAGAAGGCCUUCGGGUUGUAAAGCCCUUUUGUUGGGAAAGAAAAGCAGCAGGUUAAUACCACGCUGUUCUGACGGUACCCAAAGAAUAAGCACCGGCUAACUUCGUG
rnacentral:rRNA from 1 species